rnacentral:rRNA from 1 species
UACGAAGGGGGCUAGCGUUGCUCGGAUUGACUGGGCGUAAAUGGCGCGUAGGCGGUUCGUACAGUCAGACGUGAAAUUCCUGGGCUCAACCUGGGGGCUGCGUUUGAUACGUGCGGACUUGAGUGCGGAAGAGGGUCGUGGAAUUCCCAGUGUAGAGGUGAAAUUCGUAGAUAUUGGGAAGAACACCGGUGGCGAAGGCGGCGACCUGGUCCGAUACUGACGCUGAGGCGCGAAAGCUAGGGGAGCAAACAGG